UCAGAAAAUUAUUUAAUUUUCUUUCCAAUGAAAGAUGAGACUUGAUAAGGAGAUUAAUUUUCAAAUAUUUCAUCAUCUCAUUUGUGACAGGGAUAUGAUUAUUUUUAAUGUAAUAUUUUAUAAAUAUUUAAACAAAUGAAGAUGCUGAUGUUUAGCAAUAAUUGGGUGACAGACAAAUGAGAAGACUUCAAAAAAUUUGUGGAAAAUGAGGACCAGUGUUAUGAUAUAGCAGGUAAAGCCACCUCAUGUAAUGCUGGAAUCCCCUGUGGGCGUUUGUUUGAGUCCCAGCUGCUCCACUUCCAAUCUAGCUCCUUGCUAGUGCACCUGGGAAAGCAUCGGAAGGUGGCUCAAAUGCUUAGGCCCCUGCACCCAUGGGGGAGACCUGGAAGAAGCUCCUGGCUCCUGGCUUCAGUCUGGCCCAGUACUAGCCACUGUGGCCAUGUGGGGAGUAAACCACUGAAUGGAAGAUCUCUCUCUGUAACUCUACCUUCCAAAUAAAUAAAUUAAAUCUUUUAAGAAAUAUGGAAAAUGGAAUUAAAAGAUUGCUUAUUUUGGUGCAAGAAAAUUUUUAAGUCCUUAACAGAGUUUUUUCAUAAUACACAUUUUCCAUGAACUUUGUGAAGACUCCCUUGUAUUUGAUCUUUUUUUUUUUUAAGAUUUAUUUAUUUAUUUGAAAAUCAGUUACACAGAGAAGGAAAGGCAGAGAGAGAGAGUCUUCCAUUGCUGGUUCACUCUCCAAUUAGCUGCAGUGCCCGGAGCUGCGCCGAUCUGAAGCCAGGAGCUUCUUCUAGGUCUCCCACGUGGGUGCAGGGGCCCAAGGACCUAGGCCAUUUUCCACUGCUUUCCCAGGCCAUAGCAGAGAGCUAGAUUGGAAGUGGAGCAGCAGAGACUCGAACCGGUGCCCAUAUGGGAUGCUGGCACUGCAGGCGGCGGCUUUACCCGCUACGCCACAGUGCCAGCCCCUGUAUUUGAUCUUAAAAAGAAAGCUAACAGCUUAUUAACUAUGAUGUGCUAGGCUCUGGUUGGAUUCUUUAUAUAAAUUAAAAAAUAUGAUUUACUCCUUAGACAUUUGUAUCUGGUAGGUUCUCUCUCUCUCUCUUUCUUUUUUUUUUUUUUUUUUUUUGUAGAGCUUUUUUUAUUUGAGAGGCAGAGUUACAGAGAGAAAGAGGGAGAGAGAGAGGUCUUCCAUCGUCUGGUUCAUUCCCCAAAUGGCCACAACGGCUGGAGCUGGGCUGAUCUGAAGCCAGGAGCCAGAAGUUUCUGCCUGGUCUCCCACACAGGUGCCAGGGGCCCAAGCACUUUACCAUCUUCUGCGCUUUGCCAAGCCAUUAGCAGGGAGCUGGAUUGGAAGUGGAGCAGCCAGGUCUCAAACCAGUGCCCAUAUGGGAUGCCAGCGCUGUAGACAGAGGCUUAACCUGCUGCACCAUAGCUCCGGCCCCACUAUCUUUUCUUUGAGAACACUGAAACUGAGGUUUCAAGGUGUAUGGGGAACCUCUCCUGAAGACACAUAACUGGGAAAUCGAAGUCAGAAUUAGAACCCUGACGGCUUCGUUAGUUGUCAGGUAGAAGUACAGUGUCUUCGUUAUCUAUUGCUGUAUAAUAGAUUACUCCAAAACCUAGUGACCAGAACAACACACCUGUCAUCUCAGUUUAGGUGGCCCAGACGUAACGUAGCUGGACCCUCUGCUUUGGAUCUGUCACAGGCUGCAGUUACUGAGUCAGUGGGGGCCCGGCUGAGGCCGUGUGUAUUUGCAACUCAGUGGUGUGGUUGUGAACUGGUUCCUCGUGGGCACUUGGACUCAGGGCCUUGGCUGCUUGCUGGCUGAAGGCCAGAGGACAUCCUGGGUUUCUUUUCAGCUGACCCUCUCUGUCUAAACAAGCACGCAAGAAGAUCCAGGGGGACACAAUACCGGCACGGUGCAAGUCGCAGUCUUUUGUAUCCUAACCACAGAUGUGAUAUCCUGUGACUGUAUCUGUUCUGUGCAUUGUGGAAGCAGGUAACUAGGUCCAGGCUAUACUUGGAGGGCCUGCCCAAGGGCAUGAGUACCAGGAGGCAGGAAAUACUUGACUGUCAUGGGUGAAGUUGACUCCCACAAGUAUUUUUAACCUACAGAAAAUACAUGGAAUGGAAAGAGUCCAGAAUCUAGGUAUAAAAGUGAGUUCAGUGGUCAGUGUGCCGGGCGACAGUGCGGGGCUAUUCAGCCAGCCAUUUAGUCAGCAAACCUUAACUGCAAGCCAUGUGCCAGGCUUAGCUCCAGGUGCUGUGAAGAACACAAAGAGGUUUCUGCAGUGUGGAUCCCACAUGGCAGAAUGUUCCCGGAGAGCCUGGAUGCGUGAGUAAGGCAAAUUGUUUCCUUUCUGAGAGUGGGUAGUGCUUACGCCUAGGGUUCUUUGAUGGGGGCCAUGAUAGAAAUAAGAGUAACACGGAGAUUUUCAUCCUUGUUUCUUCUUUUUCCCAGUCCUAGUAAAUACAGUUAGCCUUCCUAACAGUGCUCCAACUCUGUCUACUUUCUCCCUGUAUUUACCGCUACCACCGCGACCCGCCCGGAGCUUGGGGAAGGGCUCCGAGCUAGUCUGCAGAAAUCUAUGUGUGGAUGGUUUUCUUAAGUCAUGCAUUUUGAUCAUGGCCCAGGGCAAGGGGCUGUAGACGGAAGAGAAGAUGAGCAAGGACCACGCCUCGGGGCACUGGGGCCUUGAGAGGUGAGGGAGACAAGGAAGGACCAGCCUCAGAGGAGUCGGGAGGAGCUGGCGAGACAACAGCAGAGCCCGAAGCAGGAGUGUGUUGCCGAGGAGCGAGCCAUCAGCUGCCUUGGAUCUGGUGCAGUAGUCGCCUAGAGGAGAGCAUAACUAAAGUGGGUUUAAAGAAGAUUUCUAGGAAAAGGAGUGAGAGACAGUGAGUAGAAAAGGCUUUUGCUACAGAAGAGAAAAUGGGUCAGUGUAGGAAGGGAGUCAGGUUUAAAGGAAAUUUUUGCUUUUUAAGAUAAAGAAAGAAUAGCCUAUUUGGGUACUGAUGAGAGUGAUGCAGCAGGAGAAGUUGGUUGAUAAGGGGACAUUGAAGGAGAAGUGCUAGAGUUCUUGAGUAGGAGACGCAAGAUGAGGCCUGGCCCACCAGUAGAGGAUUGCAUUUAGCUGAAGGGACCACUUGAAACUGAGAUUAUGGAAAGUUUAUUCGUACCAGUGAUGGCACAGUGCAGAGUUUGAUGGAAAGGACCAGUGGAAGUCGGCAUCUCUGGAGGGAGGUGACUUCAAGGGAAAGGGGGUCCUCGUUUUGAAUAUGUGACAGUAUCUAACCUGGUGUUGAAGAUUGAUGAGGGGACACUGAGCCAGGAGCGAGCGUUUUACUUCAGGUGCUCCACGGGGAAUGAGCUGUACACGCCUGUAACGGCACAGUGGGUUCUGGGCAGAGAAUGAAAGCCUGAGAGCUGGGAGUUCGGGGGGCAGGGAGGGAGUGUGGUCUGGAAACACCAAUUGGAGGCUUCGUGUUCCACCUCCAACCUCUGAUCUGAGGGCCGUGAGAGAGAAAAGAGCCACUACAACGAGCCGUGCAGGAGGACAGGGCUGGCGAGACCUGAGGGUCCUUGGAGCAGGCCAGUGGAGCCUGCAGGAUGAGGGUAAGAGGGUGCAGCAUUUUGUUGAUUCUGGACUCCUGAACAGAAGGGUUUCAGAAGCUGGGAGGCGGUGGGAGGCAGAGACAACAGGAAGUGGCAGUGGAGUGGAGACUGCGGCACUGAGUCCUGCCACCCUCUUUCUUCCUGGAUAGCACAGGUGGUGAUCAUACUGCUCACGUGCAUGUACGUGUCUACGUGAAUGUAUGCAUCCGUUGGGGUGCAUAUAAGCCCAUUUCUGUGGCUUCCCUUCAGUGAGAAGAGAGGCCCAUUUCUUUUAUUUCUUUUUAUUUAUUUUUUAACUUUUAUUUAAUGAAUAUAGAUUUCCAAAGUACAGCUUAUGGACUACAUUGCCCCCCCCCCCCAUGACUUCCCUCCCACCCGCAACCCUCCCCUUUCCCGCUCUCUCUCCCCUUCCAUUCAUAUCAAGAUUCAUUUUCAAUUUUCUAUAUAUACAGAAGAUCAGUUUAGUAUACAUUAAGUAAAGAUUUCAACAGUUUGCACCCACAUAGAAACACAAAGUGAAAAAUACUGUUUGAGUACUAGUUAUAGCAUUAAAUCUCAAUGUACAGCACACUAAGGACACAGAUCCUACAUGAGGAGUAGAGAGGCCCAUUUCUUAGUCACUGCUGCAUGUGGAGAACGUUUGAUAGGACACUCAGCUCUGUUACAAUGUGGAGCAUAGAAGGAUGGCUGUGUUACAAUACAAGUUACAGGGCUGGCGCCUUGGCUCACUUGGUUAAUCCUCCGCCUGUGGCGCCGGCAUCCCAUAUGGGUGCUGGUUCUUGUCCCGGUUGAUCCUCUUCCAGUCCAGCUCUCUGCUGUGGCCCGGGAGUGCAGUGAAGGAUGGCCCAAGUGCUUGGGCCCGGCACACACAUGGGAGACCAGGAGGAAGCACCUGGCUCCUGGCUUUGGAUCGGCGUAGCGCUGUCCAUAGCGGCCAUUUGGGGAGUGAACCAACGGAAGGAAGAUCUUUCUCUCUCUCUCUCUCUCUCUCUCCCACUGUCUAUAACUCUGUCAAAUAAAUAAAAAUAAAUAAACAAGCAAAUAAAAAAUAGAAUACAAGUUAGAGUAGUGGCAGGAUUAUGUAUUUCAUGGUGGCAAGGUAGGUGUUCUUGUAAGGCAAAGCCAUUAGAUGGGAAUGGGAGGCGGGUUUCACAACGAUGGGAACGGUGUGGAGUAGUUGGCAAGAGUAGGAAGGCGAGCCCACCAGAAUCACUUCACAGCACUGCUGCCGAGCGCCGGGUGCUUGGCUGAGGUUGAUGAGCAUUUUAGGUUAGCUGGCAUGGUUUGCAGGGGAACCUUGAGCAAGUACAUGAGAUGGACAGGAAAGCAGUUGUGUAAGGUAG